GAUGAAGAACUAGCGAAAUGCGAUAAGUAAUGUGAAUUGCAGAAUUCAGUGAAUCAUCGAAUCUUUGAACGCACAUUGCGCCCCUUGGUAUUCCGAGGGGCAUGCCUGUUCGAGCGUCAUUUCAACCCCUCAAGCUUAGCUUGGUGUUGGGCUGCGCCAGCGUUGCUGGCGGGCCUUAAAAUCAGUGGCGGUGCCGUUUGGGCUCCAAGCGUAGUAGCAUCUCUCGCUCUGGAGACCCGGCGGUUGCUUGCCAGACAAUCACUAAAAAAACAAAGGUUUGACCUCGGAUCAGGUAGGGAUACCCGCUGAACUUAAGCAUAUCAAUAAGCGGAGGA
rnacentral:misc_RNA from 1 species